UUCCUGCUGGGGGGUGGGGAGGAAAUGCAAAGGGGGGGUGCAGCCUUGGACUCAGGAGGGAGGCCAGCCGUGGAGUCCUCCCAGCCCCUGGAUAAACUCCGUUCGCCUGACAAUAAAAAACGGAUUAAAAGUGCUGGAAUGUAGCCACUGCCCAGGAGCACCCAGCAGCCCGCGAAGGGGUGUUAGAGCGAGUCUUCGGUGUGGGGAACGCCUCCCUCGUUGGUGAUCUGGGGCCGCGAAGCUUCACACAGCGGUGCCCAGGAACAAGGACGAAAGCAAGUAUAGUCUUGGCCCUUGGACUGAAGACAGCAGAACGGCAGGAAGGUUUCCUGGGGCAUCCGGAGUCCUCAUAGUUCAUGUCAAGUUCUCCCCGCUGCUCACAACCAGAUGAUGGAAUCAGAAAGGACAACUUCGAGCCAGCUUUAAUCUCUGAGCCAGCAGGCUUCCAAGUCAAGUAGUGUGAUUCCCCUAAAACUUUUUCAAUUGAGGACCAUGAUCCUUCCCAUCCUUCCACAGGAUUGUGCAUAAAGUGGAGAAAAACAUUUUAAUCCAAGUCUAAAGACUUAGAUUUCUCAACCAAGUAACUGUUUAUUACCUUGUAUAUGGGUGUAAGUGCAUGCCAUCUUAUAGUACAUGUGUCACUGUAUGUAUAAUCGUUUAGUUUACAUACACAUAAAGGAGCUGUGCAUGAAAAACCUUGUAAUUAAAUGAUGAAGCUGCAGAGAAGUAGAAAGUGAAGAUCAUCUGGGUGUAUCAUUAGUAAUCAUUUUCCUACGCAGUAACCACUACCAGUUGAGUGUGGCUUAGAACACCUUCAAUGGCAGCAAUCCCGCUUGCCUUCAGCGUUUAGCUAACUUCUUUCUGUGCCUCCUUGGCUCUCUUGGGAUUCUCCCCACAACUUGUCCUCUGCAAGAGGUACUAAUGUUAUUUUUUUUUAAUUCCACAUUUGAUGAAAUCAUAUUUAUUCCAGAAUUCACAAAUAAAUCAGAGACUCUGAGAGGGUCUUUUCCCAAUACUUCUCCUUUCACACACAAAAAAAUGCUUUUAAAUCCGAAAGUACGGCAGGUAAAUCCCAAUCUGCAGACACUGGAAAUUAAAAUUCUGCCAGUAGAUGGCGCAAAGAUCCCUUCCACGGACGUCCUUACGUGACCCCUUUACAACAAAAAGACCAAGAGAAAAGAAAGAAAACACAACUCCAGUGCUCUGGGUUCAACU